GACGAACGCUGGCGGCGUGCUUAACACAUGCAAGUCGAACGGAAAGGCCCUGCUUUUGUUGUGUGCUCGAGUGGCGAACGUGUGAGUAACACGUGUGUAACCUGCCUGUGAUUUUGGGAUAACUUCAGGAAACUGGGGCUAAUACCGGAUAUUAGCUCCUGCUGCAUGGUGGGGGUUGGAAAGUUUCGGCGGUUGGGGUUGGAGUCGCGGCUUAUCAGCUUGGUGGUGGGCUAGUGGCUUACCAAGGCUUCGACGGGUAGCCGGCCUGAGAGGGUGACCGGCGACAUUGGGAAUACGAUACGGGCCAGAAUCCUACGGGAGGAAGGAGUGGGGAAUAGUGCACAGAGGGCGGAAGCCUGAGGGAGCAACGCCGCGUGCGGGGUGACAGCCUUCGGGUUGUAGACCGCUUUCGCCUGUGAUGAAGCGUGAGUGACGGUAAUGGGUAAAGAAGCACCGGCUAACUACGUG
rnacentral:rRNA from 1 species